CCUGCAUUGUACACACUGUG
rnacentral:miRNA from 1 species